rnacentral:rRNA from 1 species
GGGUUGUGAGGUUAAGCGACUAAGCGUACACGGUGGAUGCCCUGGCAGUCAGAGGCGAUGAAGGGCGUGCUAAUCUGCGAUAAGCGCCGGUAAGGUGAUAUGAACCGUUAUAACCGGCGAUACCCGAAUGGGGAAACCCAGUGUGACUUGUCACACUAUCAUUAACUGAAUCCAUAGGUUAAUGAGGCGAACCGGGGGAACUGAAACAUCUAAGUACCCCGAGGAAAAGAAAUCAACCGAGAUUCCCCCAGUAGCGGCGAGCGAACGGGGAGGAGCCCAGAGCCUGAAUCAGCAUGUGUGUUAGUGGAAGCGUCUGGAAAGGCGCGCGAUACAGGGUGACAGCCCCGUACACAAAAGCGCAUGUGCUGUGAGCUCGAUGAGUAGGGCGGGACACGUGGUAUCCUGUCUGAAUAUGGGGGGACCAUCCUCCAAGGCUAAAUACUCCUGACUGACCGAUAGUGAACCAGUACCGUGAGGGAAAGGCGAAAAGAACCCCGGCGAGGGGAGUGAAAAAGAACCUGAAACCGUGUACGUACAAGCAGUGGGAGCCCCACCACCAAAGCAUUCUCUGGUGUUGAAGGCCCUGCAAAGCAGCAUCGCGGUGGCGGAGCGUCGUUUGCGACGCCCGACACACAAAACAAGCGGUGAGUGCUUUGGGGUGGGGUGACUGCGUACCUUUUGUAUAAUGGGUCAGCGACUUAUAUUCUGUAGCAAGGUUAACCGUAUAGGGGAGCCGGAGGGAAACCGAGUCUUAAUUGGGCGUUAAGUUGCAGGGUAUAGACCCGAAACCCGGUGAUCUAGCCAUGGGCAGGUUGAAGGUUGGGUAACACUAACUGGAGGACCGAACCGACUAAUGUUGAAAAAUUAGCGGAUGACCUGUGGCUGGGGGUGAAAGGCCAAUCAAACCGGGAGAUAGCUGGUUCUCCCCGAAAGCUAUUUAGGUAGCGCCUCGUGAAUUCAUCUCCGGGGGUAGAGCACUGUUUCGGCUAGGGGGUCAUCCCGACUUACCAACCCGAUGCAAACUGCGAAUACCGGAGAAUGUUAUCACGGGAGACACACGGCGGGUGCUAACGUCCGUCGUGAAGAGGGAAACAACCCAGACCGCCAGCUAAGGUCCCAAAGUCAUGGUUAAGUGGGAAACGAUGUGGGAAGGCCCAGACAGCCAGGAUGUUGGCUUAGAAGCAGCCAUCAUUUAAAGAAAGCGUAAUAGCUCACUGGUCGAGUCGGCCUGCGCGGAAGAUGUAACGGGGCUAAACCAUGCACCGAAGCUGCGGCAGCGACACUGUGUGUUGUUGGGUAGGGGAGCGUUCUGUAAGCCUGUGAAGGUGGCCUGUGAGGGUUGCUGGAGGUAUCA